rnacentral:rRNA from 1 species
CCUACGGGAGGCAGCAGUAGGGAAUUUUCGUCAAUGGGCGCAAGCCUGAACGAGCAAUGCCGCGUGAACGAGGAAGGUCUUCGGAUCGUAAAGUUCUGUUGAAGGGGAAAAAGAGCGGAGAGAGGAAAUGCUUUCUGAUUGAUAUUACCCUUCGAGGAAGUCACGGCUAACUACGUGCCAGAAGCCGCGGUAAUACGUAGGUGGCGAGCGUUAUCCGGAUUGAUUGGGCGUAAAGGGUGCGUAGGCGGCCUGCUAAGUCUGGAGGGAAAGGUACCGGCUCAACCGGUACAGGCGCUGGAAACUGGCGGGCUAGAGAGCAGGGGAGGGCGGUGGAACUCCAUGUGUAGCGGUAAAAUGCGUAGAUAUAUGGAAGAACACCAGUGGCGAAGGCGGCCGCCUGGCCUGUUACUGACGCUGAGGCACGAAAGCGUGGGGAGCAAAUAGGAUUAGAUACCCGGGUAGUC